CAUUAUUUACUGAUUCUCUUGAUUUGAUCCAUGGUCAGCUAGGUAUUGCAGCGCCCGGGGACAAAGUGUCGAUGAUGGCGACCUAGCGACUCUGCAUUGUCCGAGGUAUACAAGUUACGGUAGAUGUCUCAACAUCUUCCACUGCACUGGUUUCACAAAUUUAAUCUCAAGUGCAAGAUGCCUGCGUGUGUCUCGAACCUCAGGCCCGCUAGAUCUUGAUUCGGUUUGUCCCUUUCUUAGAUACCUGAAUAGUGUAUUGUGUUGUUUUGCACCAAAAAUAGGAACCAAUUGGUGUACUACUUAAUAUAUUUGAAAGUUUGGCUCGUGAAAUAUAAUUUAGUAGUUAACUUUUCUAUGCACAAAUGAAUCUCUCUACUCUGAAGAUGGCUAUGGAGAUGGGGGGCAUAUGUUUGUUGUUGUGAUGUGCAAGUCCAGCAUUAAUUUAUGAUUCUGAGCUAUGAUACUGACACGCCCUGAAUAGAGGUAAUCCACCAUGGUGGCAAGGAGUUCGACCGGAGAGAACUUACUAGCCAUGCAUAACUCCUUUGGCUCAUCCUCCGAAUUUGUUACCGCCACAUAAUUUUGCUAUGUGGAUGCCACAUCAACAUCUGCGUCCCGAGAGUGGUCAUAUGACCUAAUUCAGUGUUACACAUCCCGGUGUGCACGCCGGUUAUUAUUCCCUACAUUGUUAUCCUGCUCCAUGUCCAGGUUACAAAGCUGGUCAUUAUUCCCUGCAUUGCUAUCCUGGUGAUAUUUUUUCUUCAGGAAGAAGUUUAGGUUGGUAUCUUGCUGCAUUAUUCUGUCAUGUACCGAAUGCAGAAUUUAGUCAGAAACAGCCAGUGAAAACAUUUUCUGUAUUUUGAAAUGGAUCGGCUGAGUGGCAUGAUUGAGUAAGCAUAAGAAACUUAGCAUGGCUCUUGCCAUAUUGUCCGCUUCAGCUCUAUAGAUUUGUUUGAUGUGCUUCAUUUGAUAUUGGAUGGUGGUUCUCUGCCCAUGUAUCUAUUGUACUGCUACCAUUUUCUUGCUAUUUACCAAGAUGGUUGCAGGUACUAGCUAUCUACCUUUUUAAUGCUAUAUUGUCUUAUCAAUUAUUGAUUUCUUCUGAAAUUUACCUACAAUCAAAUGUUAUUUGGCUAUAUGAUAUCCUGAUGGAGUCCUUUUUGCAUGAUAUUUGUCGGCGCAAGCUGCCAUUGCAGAAAGCUCAGCUAGAUGGAGCACGUAAAAACUAAGAUCGGGAUUCGGUAAAUCUGGAAGAGUCUCAGUACAUGUUCUUAUGUGUAUCCUAUGGAUAUUCUCUCAAAUUUCAAUCAGGAUCACAUGGGUACCAGCUUUCGAUGAUACAUAUUCUAUAUGGAUAUCAUGUCCCUGUUGUUUGCUUAAAAUGUACCAAUGCACCUGCAUGAAUUCCAGCAAGCGCACUGCCAUGUUUGAUAGUUUACUUCAAGGUUCAGAUCUUCCGCUCACAAUAUUUGCUUCUUUCAGGCAGGGUACAUCAUGUGGCUGUUUUGAUGAUAUAAAGUUCCUCGCCUCCUUCACCUCUUCCGCCCUUGCAGCCGGAGGAUGCCACUCAACAUCGGAAAGCGUAUGGGCACAAUUCUUCUCAUUGGUGAAAUACGAAGACAUAUACAAAUGGUCAGUUAUCAAUACUGGAAAGGGAGGAUGAUACAUGCAGGGCAGGGAUUUUGGACAGCUAAAUGUUAACAGACCUGCAGAAAUUGCUAAUUAGUGGAGUGUUGGCAGGGCAGAGGUUUGGGGGAGCUAACUGUAAUAAUUAUCAUUUGGCACCAGUUGUUGGUCUCACUGCUGGUACCGCUUAGGCUAUUGGCUUCACGAAUUUCAUCAGGUAAUUUGUGUUAAUAUUUUUUGAACCAUCUAGGAAAUUCAGGACACAAAAGUUACCGAGUUAACACUGUUGCAACAUAUAGUUUGUGAAGAAGGCUACCAUAUUUCUGGCAUGGAUAUGGUCCCACAUUGUACCAGCAGUCUAAAGUUUCAUCUCUCUUUUGUUUUCUCGGUUACAUAAUAUUUCCUCCACAAUAUAUAUAUUGGUUUGAACAUGGUAAUUGUUCCCAUAUGGCUUAAUCAUUUAGAUUGCUUACCACUUAGCUGGAGAGGUUGAGCUUUUUUGCUACUAUUCAUGUUUCUCUCAUCCUUAGAAGAGUUGGUAUUACAUAUUUUCAUACUUUCAGAAUUUGGCUUCUAACUGAAGUGGAAAUUAUAUGUGAGCGUUCCAUCGAAAGGAUCAGGUAUGUUGCUCACUACCUUAGUAAUGAAGUAGUACCAUCUUAAAACCGAAAAUACAAGUAUUUGUAUGUGCGUUAAAUGGGAAUUUCCUUGCAAGAGAUGCUUACAAAGGAAUCUGGGGGUGAUUGGUAUACUAACACAAGAAGCAUAGAACAUUGGCUUGAAAAUGUGGUAUGUUUUCUCUUAUUUUGUUAUCUGGUUGUCACAAGUUGAAUGCCAUCACUGGGGAUUUACUUUUUAAUAAUAUAUUUUGUGCAUGCAUUUUUCUUGGUUUGGGCGAUGGAGGUGCACACAGAAGUUGCUAAGAUCAAGAAUGAUGAUCUACUACUGAGUGCUCAUAAAAGACCAAAAUAAUUUCAUGACGUCCUGAGUAAAUGAAUGGGAAGGUGUAACACUUAAAUUUGUCAUGGCUUACCACUUCCAGGUGGAGCUUCUCUCAUGUCUCCUCGUGCCCGGCGGUUUUUUUCUUCUCUAGCGGUACCUACCGGUGGGGCCGCUCUUCUUCCUCUUUUGAUUGGGUUUUUUCUGCAGCCACCGCCCCACCAGUGCUCCGGUAAUUCGCCCAACAGAGCAUCUGCCUACAACACAAGUCAGUAAGUUAGCUGGCAUUCCAUGAGUGUAUGUGUUGCUGAUGUCUGUUGAUCGUCCGCGAGGUAUAGAGAGCUACAAGAAGAUAGUGAGGGCCCAACUUCUCCUUUGAUAUUAUCAUGCUGCAUUACUUCUAACAGACAAUUUGUAUUUCUUUUAGGUUGUUCUGAACAUGUAUUUUAGCAUAGAAUCUGAUUUAGUGGGAAUUGAUGGUAGGUAUGUUCUGUUUCUUAACAGAAGCUUACAAGUUCAGAUUCUGAUCAUUGGAGUAUUUUCUUGAAGUUAUUAAGAAAAGGAUGCAAUUCAAUAAACGGAAUGGAUCAUGUGUCGUUCCUACUGAUCCCGUAAAAGUGUACCAUAUAUUAUGGAGAACUGUAUUUUAAUUGCAACUA